UACGUAGGGGGCUAGCGUUGUUCGGAAUUACUGGGCGUAAAGCGCACGUAGGCGGCUUUGUAAGUUAGAGGUGAAAGCCCGGGGCUCAACUCCGGAAUUGCCUUUAAGACUGCAUCGCUAGAAUUGUGGAGAGGUAAGUGGAAUUCCGAGUGUAGAGGUGAAAUUCGUAGAUAUUCGGAAGAACACCAGUGGCGAAGGCGACUUACUGGACACAUAUUGACGCUGAGGUGCGAAAGCGUGGGGAGCGAACCGG
rnacentral:rRNA from 1 species